rnacentral:lncRNA from 1 species
GUUCUCCUUAUACAGAGACACUGAAAAUGAGUUCGCAAAAUAAGCCUUCGCUAUAUUGAACACGCCUCUCGAUGUGGUUCGCGACUCCGCCUCUAUGACUCCACCUCUCCUUCGUUCAACAUCGACUCAUCUUCUUCGAAUCUUGACCCAGGCAAGUUUUUCUGAUCUUUCCCUUUGGAACCUCUCUUAUUCCUUCUUCCACCUCUUUGAAUUUUGCAAUUGUCCUCAACAAUUUUGACCUAAAGCUUUGAAUCUCUCCUUCAUUUUCUCUGUUAUUUUCUUCUUCUCUUCUCUAAUUUUCAUAGAAUCCAUAUCUACUGUAGCAAUAUGUAUAUACUUGAUGUUAAUUGGCCAUUAAUUUGUAAUUAGGUAUUUAAGAAAACCUAGAAAUUCAUAAGUAGACUAGACUUUUGGCAUGAAUCCUGAGUUUAUUGAACUUACUGGUUCAUGUGAGAUGAUGCAUCCUUGUGGUUCAGUUUUUCUUGGUUGGUGAUUUAGUGCUAAAAGAUUACACAUAGGAAGAUUUGUAGUUUUGGAGUUUGCCAAAUUUUUUUUUCUUGGUUGGUGAUUUGGUGAUUCAAUUUGUACUGCAUCUAUUUAUCCUUUGCCUGUUGGUUUUAAUACCUUGCUUCUGUUGGGUUUUGAUAGUGAACUAUUUUUGCUUCUGUUGGUAGCAUUUUAAAGUAAUCUAGUUCUGAUGAUUUUCCUAAAUAUCUAUUACAAAUGGUUGUAUUAGCUCUGUAGAAAUUGCAAUUUUUGUUCUAGUUAUCAAACAAGUGUUUGAUAUUCAAAAUUAUGAAUCCCGUAAGUAAUUAUCUAUUUUGCAGAAGGAUUUAAAAUUCACGAGUGUAUUUUUUCUAGUGUGAUAAUUUUAUUUGGGUUUGUACAGGCAUAUACUUAUUUUAUGUUGUUGUAGGCUGUUGUAUUCACUGACAUCAGUCUUGAGAAAGCCAUUGAAUUCAAUGAUUAUUGUCGUAAUCAUCAACCUCCAAUCGCCUUCAUUAAAAUCGAAGCUAGAGGCCUCUUUGGUUUUCUUCUUUUUUCGUUGGCCAUGUCAAAGCAAAGUCAUGCUCUCUUUUUUUUCUUUUUUCUUUUUUUGGAGAAAGAUUUGUAGUUUUGGAGUUUGCAAUUGUCGGUGAUUGAUUGUAUCUGUCAUUUGACAAAGCAAUUUGCGUCCUAUGUUUUCUCAUUUGGUUUCAGCCCAGAUCCCACCAUUUCUUCUAAUAAGCUUCUUGCUAAACCAGGCUUUCCAGCCUUGCCCAUUGCCUCUAACAAAGUAUUGUACACAACCAAAUUAGGCUGCACACCAAUACCAGCCAUUUCCUGCAAGACAUACCUAAUGCCAUCAUAGUCCCCAGCCUCACCAAACAUCUUACCCAAGAUAGAAAAUGCAAUGGGGUCUGGUUUCCACCCACUAGCUCUCCCUCUCUCAUAUAAACUAAGAACCUCCUCAACCUUUCCCAAUUUGGCAUUGGUUUAGGUCUCUCAAAUAAGAAAAUGUAAUAAAUAACAUGGUGUUAAUCAGCAGCAGCAACAUCUUUUGGCCAGUUGUGAAAUAAUCCUACAACUUUUUUCUUCAUAUUUGUUGUGAUAUUAGGCACACAUUGGUUGAUAAUUUUUGGUCCAUUUGAGGUGAAUUUUCCAUACUUUGCAAAUUGUAUUAAUUAUGGCUUUGCAUUAAUUGUUAUGUUUCUAUUUGCAUAUGAAACUGUUUGUUUUCAAUUUGGGGUUAUUUCACUUUCAGUAAGAUUGAUUAAGUGCAAUAAUUCUUUUCUUUUUUGAUUAAUAGAUAUGGAUCAAAGACAAAUGUUUUUUUAUUAAUAAAUAAAAUUGAAGAGACGGAAAAUGUGAUAGAAGGUGAUAUGGUUGGCACCAUUGGAGCAUCAGAUGAAUGGACUACUUGGAGGAAUGACUUGGCUUUCCAAAUGUAUAAUGAGUGGCAAGGAAAUGCGAAUAACUAGCCAACUCUUGUUAUUUAUGUUUGAGUUCUUAAGGUGUUUUCUUUUUUAUGUGAUUGUAAUUUGUAUUUGAGGCAUGAUAAUUCAGCCUUAACAAUGUAUUGAUUGUGGUAUUGUAGUCAAUUUAUCAAUUUGUUUGUUGAUUUUAUUUCUCUUUUUGUUUUUAAGGUUAUGUGAUGUACUAGAGAAGAGUCAUGCUUUGAAACAAAGUUAUGUUUUCUUUGUAAAUUCCAAUUAUUGAUUGUGG